rnacentral:rRNA from 1 species
CAAAUCAGGUAGGACUACCCGCUGAACUUAAGCAUAUCAAUAAGCGGAGGAAAAGAAACUAACAAGGAUUCCCCUAGUAACUGCGAGUGAAGCGGGAAAAGCUCAAAUUUAAAAUCUGGCGGUCUUCGGCCGUCCGAGUUGUAAUCUGGAGAAGCGUUUUCCGCGCUGGACCGUGUACAAGUCUCUUGGAACAGAGCGUCAUAGAGGGUGAGAAUCCCGUCUUUGACACGGACUACCAGUGCUAUGUGAUGCGCUCUCGAUGAGUCGAGUUGUUUGGGAAUGCAGCUCAAAAUGGGUGGUAAAUUCCAUCUAAAGCUAAAUAUUGGCGAGAGACCGAUAGCGAACAAGUACCGUGAGGGAAAGAUGAAAAGCACUUUGGAAAGAGAGUUAAACAGUACGUGAAAUUGCUGAAAGGGAAACGAUUGAAGUCAGUCGCGUGUGCUAGAACUCAGCCUUGCUUUUGCUUGGUGCAUUUUCUAGUGUACGGGCCAGCAUCAGUUUUGGCCGCCGGAAAAAGGCCUUGGGAAUGUGGCACCUUCGGGUGUGUUAUAGCCCUUGGUUGUAUACGGUGGCUGGGACUGAGGAACAUAGCAUGCCUUUACGGCGGGGCUUCGGCCACCUUCAUGCUUUGGAUGCUGGCGUAAUGGCUUUAAACGACCCGUCUUGAAACACGGACCAAGGAGUCUAACAUGCCUGCGAGUGUUUGGGUGGAAAACCCGAG